GGCGGNUUCUUAAGUCUGAUGUGAAAGCCCCCGGCUCNCGGGGGAGGGUCAUUGGAAACUGGGGAACUUGAGUGCAGAAGNGAGAGUGGAAUUCACGUGUAGCGGUGAAAUGCGUAGAGAUGUGGAGGAACNCCAGUGGCGAAGGCGACUCUCUGGUCUGUAACUGACGCUGAGGAGCGAAAGCGUGGGGAGCGAACAGGAUUAGAUACCCUGGUAGUCCAGGGCGUAAACGAUGAGUGCUAAGUCUUAGGGGGUUUCCGCCCCUUAGUGCUGCAGGUAACGCAUUAAGCACUCCGCCUGGGGAGUACGGUGGCAAGACUGAAACUCAAAGGAAUUGACGGGGGCCCGCACAAGCGGUGGAGCAUGUGGUUUAAUUCGAAGCAACGCGAAGAACCUUACCAGGUCUUGACAUCCUCUGACAAUCCUAGAGAUAGGACGUCCCCUUCGGGGGCAGAGUGACAGGUGGUGCAUGGUUGUCGUCAGGUCGUGUCGUGAGAUGUUGGGUUAAGUCCCGGAACCAGCGCAACCCUUGAUCUUAGUUGCCAGCAUUCAGUUGGGCACUCUAAGGUGACUGCCGGUGACAAACCGGAGGAAGGUGGGGAUGACGUCAAAUCAUCAUGCCCCUUAUGACCUGGGCUACAGACGUGCUACAAUGGACAGAACAAAGGGCAGCGAAACCGCGAGGUUAAGCCAAUCCCACAAAUCUGUUCUCAGUUCGGAUCGCAGUCUGCAACUCGACUGCGUGAAGCUGGAAUCGCUAGUAAUCGCGGAUGAGCAUGCCGCGGUGAAAUCGUUCCCGGGCCUUGUACACAGCGCCCGUCACACCACGAGAGUUUGUAACACCCGAAGUCGGUGAGGUAACCUUUAUGGAGCCAGCCGCCG
rnacentral:rRNA from 1 species